rnacentral:misc_RNA from 1 species
GAUGAAGAACGCAGCGAAAUGCGAUAAGUAAUGUGAAUUGCAGAAUUCAGUGAAUCAUCGAAUCUUUGAACGCACAUUGCGCCCGUCAGUAUUCUGGCGGGCAUGCCUGUUCGAGCGUCAUUACGCCCCUCAAGUCCCCUGUGGACUUGGUGUUGGGGAUCGGCGAGGCUGGUUUUCCAGCACAGCCGUCCCUUAAAUUAAUUGGCGGUCUCGCCGUGGCCCUCCUCUGCGCAGUAGUAAAACACUCGCAACAGGAGCCCGGCGCGGUCCACUGCCGUAAAACCCCCCAACUUUUUAUAGUUGACCUCGAAUCAGGUAGGACUACCCGCUGAACUUAAGCAUAUCAAAAGCGAGGA